rnacentral:rRNA from 1 species
GUAAAGCUCUGUUGUAAGACAAGAACAGUGAGAAGAGUGGAAAGUUUCUCACUUGACGGUAUCUUACCAGAAAGGGACGGCUAACUACGUGCCAGCAGCCGCGGUAAUACGUAGGUCCCGAGCGUUGUCCGGAUUUAUUGGGCGUAAAGCGAGCGCAGGCGGUUUGAUAAGUCUGAAGUAAAAGGCUGUGGCUUAACCAUAGUACGCUUUGGAAACUGUCAAACUUGAGUGCAGAAGGGGAGAGUGGAAUUCCAUGUGUAGCGGUGAAAUGCGUAGA